AUGGACUCGAUAAAGGACAAAAACGGUAUGGACCUAACAGACGCAGAAGAUAUUAAGAAGAGGUGGCAAGAAUACACAGAAGAACUGCACAAAAAUGAUCUUCACGACCCAGAUAAUCACAAUGGUAUAAUCACUCACCUAGAGCCAGACAUUGUGGAAUGUGAAGUCAAGUGGGCCUUAGAAAGCAUCACUACGAACAAAGCUAGUGGAGGUGAUGAAAUUCCAGUUGAGCUAUUUCAAAUCCUAAAAGAUGAUGCUGUGAAAGUGGUGCACUCAAUAUGCCAGCAAAUUGGGAAAACUCAGCAGUGGCCACAGGACUGGAAAAGGUCAGUCUUCAUUCCAAUCCCAAAGAAAGGCAAUGCCAAAGAAUGCUCAAACUACCGCACAAUUGCACUCAUCUCACAUGCUAGUAAAGUAAUGCUCAAAAUUCUCCAAGCCAGGCUUCAGCAAUACAUGAACUGUGAACUUCCAGAUGUUCAUGCUGGUUUUAGAAAAGGCAGAGGAACCAGAGAUCAAAUUGCCAACAUCCGCUGGAUCAUGGAAAAAGGAAGAGAGUUCCAGAAAAACAUCUAUUUCUGCUUUAUUGACUAUGACAAAGCCUUUGACUGUGUGGAUCACAAUAAACUGUGGAAAAUUCUGAAAGAGAUGGGAAUACCAGAGCACCUGACCUGCUUCUUGAGAAAUCUAUAUGCAGAUCAGGAAGCAACAGUUAGAACUGGACAUGGAACAACAGACUGGUUCCAAAUAGGAAAAGGAGUAUGUCAAGGCUGUAUAUUGUCACCCUGCUUAUUUAACUUCUAUGCAGAGUACAUCAUGAGAAACGCUGGACUGGAAGAAGCACAAGCUGGAAUCAAGAGUGCCGGGAGAAAUAUCAACAACCUCAGAUAUGCAGAUGACACCACCCUUAUGGCAGAAAGUGAAAAGGAGCUAAAAAGCCUCUUGAUGAAAGUGCAAGAGGAGAGUGAAAAAGUUGGCUUAAAGCUCAACGUUCAGAAAACGAAGAUCAUGGCAUCUGGUCCCAUCACUUCAUGCGAAAUAGAUAGGGAAACAGUGAAAACAGUGUCAGACUUUACUUUUUGGGGCUCCAAAAUCACUGCAGAUAGUGACUGCAGUGAAAUUAAAAGACGCUUAUUCCUUGGAAGAAAAGUUAUGAGCAACCUAGAUAGCAUAUUCAAAACCAGAGACAUUACUUUGCCAACAAAGGUCCAUCUAGUCAAGGGUAUGGUUUUUCCAGUGGUCAUGUAUGGAUGUGAGAGCUGGACUGUGAAGAAAGCUGAGCACCAAAGAAUUGAUGCUUUUGAACUGUGGUGUUGGAGAAGACUCUUGAGAGACCCUUGGACUGCAAGGAGAUCCAACCAGUCCAUUCUGAAGGAGAUCAGCCCUGGGUGUUCUUUGGAAGGAAUGAUGCUAAAGCUGAAACUUCAGUAUUUUGGCCACCUCAUGUGA
rnacentral:lncRNA from 1 species